CGAAGAUCUGCAGCUUCACUCCUGAGCCCAGGGAGACCACGAGCCCACCGGGAGGAACGAACAACCCCAGACGCGCGGCCUUAAGAGCUGUAACACUCACCGCGAAGGUCUGCAGCUUCACUCCUGAGCCAGCGAGACCACGAACCCACCAGAAGGAAGAAACUCCGAACACAUCUGAACAUCAGAAGGGACAGACUCCAGACGCGCCACCUUAAGAGCUGUAACACUCACGGCGAGGGUCCGCGGCUUCAUUCUUGAAGUCAGUGAGACCAAGAACCCACCAAUUCUGGACACACAAUGAGAUAAUAACAUAAGUUUGAAAACUGCAAUUGGGCCUACUAAGGAACCAUGAUAGUGUUUGGUACAUAGAGGACACUGGAAAUGGUUUUCUUAACUGAACAAGUGACUAGAAUAAAGGAAUUAAUGAACGACAUCAGAGCUGAAAUCCCAAACCAUAAAUCAUAAAAGGAUCAGACAGCAAAGGAAACCUUAACGACUCCACCAAAAGGCUUGUAUACCCAGGAAACAACUUCAGUAAACUUUCAUGAUACAAAAUCACUGUACAAAAAUCAGUAGCAUUUCUACACACCAAUAAUGACUUAACUGAAAGCCAAAUCAAGAGCACAAUGGCAUUUACAAUAGCCACAUCAAAAAAAAAUGAACUAUCUGGGAAUACAUCUAACCAAGGAGGUGGAAGAUCUCUAAAAAGAACUACAAAACACUGCUGAAAGAAAUAAGAAAUAUCAAAAAUAAAUGGAAAAAAUAUUCCAUGCUCAUGGAUUGGAAGAAUCUGUAUCAUUAAAAUGGCCAUACCAUUCAAAGCAAUCUACAGAUUCAAUGCCAUUCCUAUCAAAAUACCAAAAUUAUUUUUCACAGAAGUAGAAAAAUUUUUUUUUACAAUUUGUACAGAACCAGAAAAGAACUAAUGCAAUCCUAAGAAAAAAAAAAAGGAAACCAAAGCUGAAGGCAUCAUGUUAUCUGAAUUCAAACUAUACUAUAAGACUACAGUAACAAAAACAGCAUGGUACUGAUACAAAAACAGACACAUACACCAGUGGAAAAUAAUAGAGAAUCCAGAAAUGGAGGUACAUACCUGAAACCAUGUGUUCUUCAACAAAAUUGACAAAAGUAAGCACUGGGAAAAGGACUCCCUAUCCAAUAAAUGGUGCUGGGACAACUAGAUAGCCAUAUAAAAAUACAGCUGAACCCCUAUCUUUCACCAUGUACAAAAAUUAACUCAAGAUGGACUAAAGAUUUAAAUGUAAGACCUCUAAUUAUAAAAAUCCCAGAAGAAAACUUAGGAAAUACUCUUCUUGACAUCGACUUUGGCAAAGAAUUUAUGUUUAUGUCCUGAAAAGCAAUUGCAACAAAAACAAAAAUUGACAAGUGAGAUAUAAUUAAACUAAAGAGCUCCCACACAGCAAAAGACAUUUCAACACAGUAAACAAAGAGAGCCUACAAAAUGGGAGAAAAUAUUCACAAACUAUGCAUUCAACGAAGGUCUAUUAUUUCUCUUCUAAUGGGAACGCUUCAUGAUCACUGUGAUCAGGUCUUAUUUUUGUGUAUGUCACAAGCCUUAUUACAAUAUUGAAUAUACAGUAGUUCUUUAAAAUCAUGAUGAAUAAAUGAAUAAUCAUCAUGAUAACUUAGUAUACAUGUAUCGUGCCCUCUUUUGUUUGUGAUGAAGUUGAUGAUGUAUACUCAUGACUAUGGGCCUUUAUCCUAAUGCAUCAACCUUCAUUUCCUCUCUAUUUACUUAGACCAAUUACCAGUUUCACUGUAAAACCCCAGGUGCUAUAAUUAUUAUUAUUUUUUGCCUGUACUGUAGCAUACCUAGCACAGAGAUAGAGUUGACUUUUUUAUGACUACCCAACAAGUAUUCCUUAAGUUGAAGAAGGCAGUAAAAUUGCAUGCAGUGAAUAGAUCUCAAAUAUUUGGUACUUGUAAUAGUAGAGGCUUUAAAAAGUUUGGUAUUUUUAUUCUUUUAUUACUUCCCAGUCCCAAUCUCUGAUGCAGCUGGGAUAAAUUUUCCAAUAGCCUAAAGCAGCCCACCUCUUCUUUCUCACCCCACCAUACAUAUAUGCACACACACAGGCUGAGUCACAUGUUUGGUGAAAAUAUUUAGGUCAAAAUAAUAUCUUCAUCUGACUACUACACAAAGCUAUUAGUCAUUAAAAGUCGGGUACGUACAUGAAGUUAAUGUUAUAAUUUUACAAAUUAGAAAACAAAUUUUUCUGUAGGGAUGUAGACCAAGAGCAAUCCACUCAAAUACUUGUAUCUCUAUAUUCUGAGAGCUGUCCUGAAAAGAGAAGGCUCACUAAAAUUAUGUGUGUGUAUGCCUAUAAAAGAAAUAUACAUACAUACACUCACAUACACACAAAUAUAAUGCAUGCAUAUGUUAAUGUUUAUAUAUGCAUGUAUAUACAUUUUAAAUUAAAUUCCAUUAAUUUGCACAGGUCUGAUAAUAUUAGGAUUCAAUGGUAGUAGAUGGUAGAGUAUAUAUGCUUAGCCAUGCUUCUACAGUUGUGUCAGACACUGUUUUAAUACCAGUUAGUAACUCACUGUUCACCAUAAAAUGAAAAAGAAACUGAAGAGAUUGAUGCAAGCAUAGAGUUCCUCCCCCAUAAGUGAUAAGGUAGGAAUUGUCUCAAGAAACAAAUCAACAUUUUAUCAAAAAUACAUACAGCCAAACAGCUAUAAUUCUCUACUGUGUUUUUCUUCCAUAAAAGUCUGUCAUGGGAAUGUGAUGCACCUAUAUUACAAAUCAAUCCAAGGCCAUUUCAAGGUUAUACUCACUCUCUGGGGCAUUGAGCUAAUGAAUUUGAGUGACUUUAUUCAUUAUAUAAAAUUUAUUACAUACUCAUUUAGUAUUGCACAUACGUUUCUCUUAAAGAUAAUACAAAACACAAUAAAUAACAUAUAAGAUAUUCAUGAUAAAGACAAAACUCAAUUAGUGUUAAUCAUAGUUCUUUCACAGAAAGUAGAAAUCUACCACAGUAACACAUAUAGAAAAGGUACUAAAUAAUAUCCAUUUGAUAAAUAAGUAGCAUACCCUAUGCAAUGUAUAAAAGACUGAAUAAACAAAUAGAAGAAGAAAUGCAGAAGGAGGAUAAAUUAAUUAUGUUUUUAGAAUUAUGUUUUUAGAAGGCAGUGCAAAAGAAACUUCCUAAAAGAGCUGGCUCUUGAUUUGAGCCUUAAAAGAUGCCUUAAAGUUCUUGAUGAUGAAUAUGGUUUUGGAAAGGUAGAAAAAUAUUCCAUUACUUGAGGUAUGAAAGUAACCCAUGUAUGGAAUUAUAAAUGUGACUACCUCUCUAAUAGAACAUUUGAAGGGUAGUAUGAAUUGUGGUUAAAGGGU
rnacentral:lncRNA from 1 species